GGAAUUUUCCGCAAUGGGCGAAAGCCUGACGGAGCAACGCCGCGUGAGGGAUGAAGGCCUCUGGGCUGUAAACCUCUUUUAUCAAGGAAGAAGAUCUGACGGUACUUGAUGAAUAAGCCACGGCUAAUUCCGUGCCAGCAGCCGCGGUAAUACGGGAGUGGCAAGCGUUAUCCGGAAUUAUUGGGCGUAAAGCGUCCGCAGGCGGUCUUGUAAGUCUGUCGUUAAAGCGUGGAGCUUAACUCCAUUUCAGCGAUGGAAACUGCAAGACUAGAGUGUGGUAGGGGCAGAGGGAAUUCCCGGUGUAGCGGUGAAAUGCGUAGAUAUCGGGAAGAACACCAGUGGCGAAGGCGCUCUGCUGGGCCAUAACUGACGCUCAUGGACGAAAGCCAGGGGAGCGAAAGGGAUUAGAUACCCCAGUAGUC
rnacentral:rRNA from 1 species